rnacentral:misc_RNA from 1 species
GAAAUGCGAUAAGUAGUGUGAAUUGCAGAAUUCAGUGAAUCAUCGAAUCUUUGAACGCACAUUGCGCCCCUUGGUAUUCCAUGGGGCAUGCCUGUUCGAGCGUCAUUUGUACCCUCAAGCUCUGCUUGGUGUUGGGUGUUUGUCCCGUCUCCGCGCGUGGACUCGCCCCAAAGUGAUUGGCAGCCGGCGUACUGGUCCCGGAGCGCAGCACAUGUCGCGCAAACGAAUGCCUUGGUACGGCGGCGUCCAUAAGCCCCUCUCUCACGCUCUUGACCUCGGAUCAGGUAGGGAUACCCGCUGAACUUAAGC